GACGAACGCUGGCGGCGUGCUUAACACAUGCAAGUCGAACGGAAAGGCCCUGCUUUUGUGGGGUGCUCGAGUGGCGAACGGGUGAGUAACACGUGAGUAACCUGCCCUUGACUUUGGGAUAACUUCAGGAAACUGGGGCUAAUACCGGAUAGGAGCUCCUGCUGCAUGGUGGGGGUUGGAAAGUUUCGGCGGUUGGGGAUGGACUCGCGGCUUAUCAGCUUGGUGGUGGGGUAGUGGCUUACCAAGGCUUUGCCGGGUAGCCGGCCUGAGAGGGUGACCGGCCACAUUGGGACUGAGAUACGGCCCAGACUCCUACGGGAGGCAGCAGUGGGGAAGAGUGCACAAUGGGCGGAAGCCUGAUGCAGCAACGCCGCGUGCGGGAUGACGGCCUUCGGGUUGUAAACCGCUUUCGCCUGUGACGAAGCGUGAGUGACGGUAAUGGGUAAAGAAGCACCAGCUAACUACGUG
rnacentral:rRNA from 1 species